GGGAUAUGGCCUUGAAUGCUAUUGGAACAAAUAGUAAUUUAAACAAUUGACUUAAAUUUCCAAAAGUGGAUAGAAUCUUCCCAGAGAAGGAUUUAAAUGCUGACAUGCCACUAUUAGCAAUUGAGAAAAUUAUAUUCUAUAUAUACUAAAACUCAAUGCAACUAAACACUGUAGCUAGGCACAGUGUAAUGACGGAAAUGCCCC
rnacentral:lncRNA from 1 species